GGGGAGUCAGAAAAGCUUAAGGUGGAAAGAGCAUAAGGGCUGCUUGGGAAGGAAACUACAGUCCCCACCCAACUUCGCCAAAAGCAAAACAUUUGCAUUCAGGAAUGAGGGGCUAUCAGACUGAAAUUAACCAAGGAGUGAAUGGUGGCUGGAAGGUUAAUUUACCCCAUCUGUGAAAUAAGGAUAUUACCUGUCUUUUCCACUUGACAGUUUUUGUGGAGAUAAUUCGAAGGUUGGAAAGUGGAAGAGGAUAGAACAAAAGAGAUGCAGACAGCAGGAAGCCAGGAGACUUUGUGCAGUAUCUUGGAUGAGAAAGGAAGAAAAUGUUUCAAGAAUGAGGAGUGAUUGUGUCACAAACAGAGAGUGAGUAAAACAAGGACUAAGAACUGUGCGUUGGAGGUCACUGAAGAACAGUUUCAGCAGUGUGGAGGACAAAAGAGUAAAGUAGUUUUGAGAAACAAAAGACUCUUUCAAGGAGUCUUUUUUCUUUAUCUUAUUUUUAUCUUAGUAUGUUUUACUGAUGGAAAAUUUCAUGCACAAAAAUAGCAAGACAGAGACUUCUACUUUGAAACAAAAUGGAGUAACAGGGGCCAUGUUUACUUUCCUACAUGAAAUAACUGAAAAAUGGACAAAAUAUAUGGAAGAGUGAUUUGAAAUGCCAGGAAACAGGCAAAAAAAGACAAUGAUCCCUGAAAGGCAGGAAACAAACGAGCGAGCCAUGUGAUUGCUGCAGCUUACUUGAGAUAGUUUUUAGGCCUCAGCACAAAGACAGGGGUAGAGCUUGGUGGACUCUCUGAGUUGAGGAUGUGGAACAGAGACUGAGAGUCUAGGGAGACCAAGGUAGCUCGAGGUCACGGAACAGAUUACUGGAGAGGAGAGAGCUACACGCAGAAUUUCUGCACGUAUUUUCCCUUGAUUAUUUAUCUCAGUACUUUUUACUACAAAUCCCACUAGAAGGAUUAGAAGGAAUAAUGCCUGGUACGAGCACACAGCACUGUGAAUGGCACCUUUUCCCUUCAGCUAGAAUGAAUGGCAUUUAGUAUAAAAUUCACAGGGUUUUGCCUCAAUGAGACUAAUGUGGCCCAGACAGAACAUUGCCAUGUCCCAGACAGAACACUGCCAUGUCCCACCUGACAUUUUAAAAGCAAGAUUCCAAAAGAUCAUUGCUAAGUAACUGUUUUAAUCAACUUUGUGUUGCUGACCAAAAUACUAGACAAGAACAAGUUGGAGGAGGGAGAGUUUAUCUGGGACUCCAGUUUCAGAGGUCUCAUCCAGAAACUGCCAGGUCUAUUUCUCUGGGCCCAAAGCUAGGCAGCACCUCAUGGCUGAAGGGCAAGAUGGAGAAAAACAGCUCACCACAUGGGCCUGGAAGCAGAGGGGCAGAGAAGGGGCUGCAGGGAAGAACAACCCUUCUAAGGCAUGCCCCCAGGAACCACCACCUCUCCAGCCAUGCCCUGCCUGCCUGCAGUUACUAACCAGUCAGUCCAUCAAACUAGGAUGGGUUGAUUAAAUACAAUCACUUUGCCUCUGAAUAUUCCAGCAUUAACACAAGGAGCUUUGCGGGGACACCUCAUCCAAACCAAAACAGUAACUUGAAAACAUCCCAGGAGAUAGCUCAAAAAUACAGGAAUACAAACAUACCCAGUACCCUUCAAGUUAAAAUUAGUAAUGCCUGGCAUGUAAAAAAAAAGUUACUAAGCAGGAAAAGAAACAAGAAAAUAUUAUUAUCACUAAGAGAUAAACCAAAACUAGCCCAUAAUUAACAUAUACAUUAGAAUUAGAAAAUAAAGUCUAGGAAAUAAUUAUUAUGACUAUAUUAUAUAUGUUUAAAAAGUUAAAGCUGUAGAAGAUAUUAAAGCACAUCUUCUAGAGAUGAAAACUAUAAUAUCAAUGAUAAAAAUAUAAUGGGUAGAACUAAUAACAGAUCAAAUAUUAUAGAUCACAGUUCAAGAAAAGACUAGUGAACUUGAAGAUAUAAUAGAAACUAUCUAAAACAAGACACAUAAAGAAAAGAGAAUAAUAAUUGAAAAAUGAUCAGAGCAUCAGUAAAUUGUGGAACAACUUCCAGUAGAAGAAAAUACAAGAGAAAACACUUAUGGGGUCUGGUGAAGAUUUUUCACAUACCACAUCAAAAGUAGUACACAUUAAAAAUUUUAAUAAAUUGGACUUACCAAAAUUAAAAUGUUUGCUUUUUAAAGGGCACUGUUUCUGCUUCUUAAAAGACAUUGUUAAGAGGAUAAAAGGAUUGGGAGAAAAUAUCUGAAAAUCAUAUAUCUGAUAAAGGAUUUACAUCCAGAAUAUUUAAAAAAUAUUCUUAAAACGCAACAAUAAGGAAAUAGUUCAAUAAAAAGGGAUAAAAGAUUUAAACAGGAACUUUAUUAAAGAAAAUUUGUAAAUGAAAAGUAAGCACAUUAAAAGAUGCUCAACUUCAUUAGUAACGAAAUGCAAAUUAAAACCACAAUGAGAAAUCAUACCUAAUGGAAUGGUAACAAUAAAAAAAAAAACCUAACUAUAUGCCAAGUGUUGAUUAGGAUGUGGAGGAUCUGGAACUCAUACACAGAGAAUAGCAAUAUAAAAUUAUACAAAUACCCUGGAAUACAGUUUUUCAGUUUUUUAAAAAUUUAAAUGAACACCUGCCAUAUGAUCAGUCAUUCCAUUCCAGGUAUUUAUGCAGAAUAAAUGAAAGCAUAUGUCUACUUAAAGACCUGUAAGAGCUUUAUUUGUAAGACCCCUAAACUGGAAAUAAUCCCAGUGCCCAUCAACAGAGGAAUGGAUAAGCAAACUCUAGUAUAAGUAAUUCUCAGCAAUAAAGAAAUUGAACUGUUUGUGCAUGCUGCUGCAACAUAGAUGAGUCUCAAAAUUUUUAUUCUGUGUGAAAGAAACCGGACAAAAGAGAGAGAACAUAUUGAAUUAUUUCAUUUGUAAAAUUUCUAUAAAAUGAGCCAGACACCAUGACUUGCAUCUGUAGUUUCAGCUAUUCGGGAGGCUGAAACAGGAGGAUCACUUGAACCCCUUGAACCCAGGGGUUUGGGUCUAUCCUGGGCAACAUAGUAAGGCCCCAUAUCAAACAAAUAUUAGAAAAUGCAAAUGCAUUGAUAGUGACAAAUCAGUCAGUGGUUGGCUGGGGAGGUAGAAUAGGAGGGAAGAGUUUCAAAGGGGAACUAGGUAUCUUUCGGGGGUCAUACAUAUGUUCACUAUCUUGAUUUACUGGUAUGUUGUGCUAAUUACUUAUUAAAUUCCACAUAUCAAAUAUAUACAGUUUAUUAUAUGUCAACUAUAGUUAAUAAUUUUUUUUAAAUUAUAAUGUAGCAAGAUAAAUAUAAUAUUCCCAUCACCCAGCUUAAAUAACUUUCAGCAUUCUGCUAUUCUCUUUCAAGGAGUUUUGCUAUCAAGGGGAGCAGAGAAAUGGGCUGUGCUUAGAAAGAUCUGACAUCAAACAAGCAUUUUUAAUUUUUACUAAGAUGAGACAUGCUACAGUGUGCUUGUAUGUAGAUGAGAGGAGAGGACAAACUGACACAAGAGUAGAGCAAAUGACUGAGAGUCCUUGAGUGGCAGGAGGGCCUGGGCUGGUGUUGUGUGUGCAAGGGAGGGAUGGGCCUGGGAGAAGAGAAUAGCUCAUCUAUGACAGGAGGGAAGACAAAGACAUGAAUAGGUUCACUUAAUAGGCCAUACUGAGUCAUUGUUACUGAUGAUAAUAUCAGUAAUUACAAUGAGAAUAGUUAAUAGGCUUUUGUAUUCAUUAAUAAGAUGAGUCACACAAAUUUAGCAGUGCUUGAGUUACUUGGAUGAAGUUUUCAACAAAGUUACCAAUAAGUAUGUUAUAGGUACAGAUUUCUCUGUAUUUUCAGCUAAGAAAAAACAAUGACCCCAACCCCAGCUCUCAUUUGGUCUGAAUUGGAGUAAUCAAUUGCCCUAGAUGUUGGAAACUCUUCUGCCUGUAUAUUCAGUGUUAAAUUAUAUUUCCAUUCAUUUUUUUUUUCGGUGUUUGUGGUAUCUCACAAGUAACUACUUCUGUUUUCCUAUUUCCCAACACCUUGUUGGGACCACCUUCACUUUUACCACCACUAUCUACACAACAAAAGUAACAAUGGUUACCAUUUAUUAAACGUUGCUAGGCGCCACUAUCUCCAUCUUCAUAGCAGCCCUGUGAGGUAGAUGGUAUGAUUAGCCCCUGUUGACAGCUAUGGAAAAUUAGGUGUCAGAGUUAGGCUAUUGCCCCAAUAUCACAUCUCAGAAAUAUGAGAGCCAGAAUGAAAAUUCAAGUCCAUCUGACUCUAAAGUCCUUGCUCUGAAGAGUUAUUAGGCUAUAUGACUGGUCCUUAUAAAUGAGAAGUUUUACUGGCAAGAGUAGAUAUAUUCAUUUUUCUCUCCAAUUCUAAUUUAUUGUAAAGAUCAUAUUUUGACAAUAAUAAAAGAACUCGGAAAAAUGAAAAUAAUUCACAGUUCCGACAUCCUGUUGCAACAACUGUUUUCAUUUUUCUCCAUUUCCUUUUGAUCCUUAUCCAUAUGUACAUAUUUUGCAUAGUUGUAGAUGCAAUUUUAUAUUCUGUUUUUAUGCUUAAUGUUAUAACAGACAUUUUCCUUGUUGCUAUUUCAACUUUAAUGGAUGUAUUACUACUUAUAAAAAUGGAAUAUUAAAAUAUUAAAUUAUUGUGUUUUGUUAAUGUGUGAUGAUUUAGUUAAUCAAUUACCCACAGUGGACAAGAUUUGUUUCCAGUUUUUUAGUUUUAUAAACAAAGCUGAAGCAAACUGAUAUCCCCCCAUCUUUUGUCAAUUUUCUCUUAGGAUAUAUUCCCAGGAAUAAGAUUGCCAAAUAAGAAUUUGAACAUAUUUAUGAAUCUGAUACUUUAAAAAAGGAUAAAAUUAGGAGAGUUUGUAUCUUAGAUCAAGGUAGAUAAAUUUUAUAACUAUCAAGAAUGGAUUAACUAUAUGAAUUAUUGUUUAGGAGGGUCACAAUUGAAGAAAAACUGGGAAUGACUGCUAAUGGGUACACAAUUGCUUUUGGGGAUGUUGAAAUAUUCUGGAAUUACAUAGUGACGAUGGCUAUCCAGCAAUGUUGUACUAAAAA